CAGUCGCCGCGGUAAUACGAAGGGUGCAAGCGUUACUCGGAAUUACUGGGCGUAAAGCGUGCGUAGGUGGUUGUUUAAGUCUGCUGUGAAAGCCCUGGGCUCAACCUGGGAAUUGCAGUGGAUACUGGGCGACUAGAGUAAGGUAGAGGAUAGUGGAAUUUCCGGUGUAGCAGUGAAAUGCAUAGAGAUCGGAAGGAACAUCUGUGGCGAAGGCGACUAUCUGGGCCAUUACUGACACUGAGGCACGAAAGCGUGGGGAGCAAACAGGAUUAGAUACCCCCGUAGUCCCUGUCUCUUAUAC
rnacentral:rRNA from 1 species